CACUGGGAUUGAGACACGGCCCAGACUCCUGCGGGAGGCAGCAGUGGGGAAUAUUGCGCAAUGGGCGAAAGCCUGACGCAGCGACGCCGCGUGGGGGAGACGGCCUUCGGGUUGUAACCUCUUUUACCACCAACGCAGGCUUCCAGUUCUCUGGAGGUUGACGGUAGGUGGGGAAUAAGGACCGGCUAACUACGUGCCAGCAGCCGCGGUAAUACGUAGGGUCCGAGCGUUGUCCGGAAUUAUUGGGCGUAAAGAGCUCGUAGGCGGCGUGUCGCGUCUGCUGUGAAAGACCGGGGCUUAACUCCGGUUCUGCAGUGGAUACGGGCAUGCUAGAGGUAGGUAGGGGAGACUGGAAUUCCUGGUGUAGCGGUGAAAUGCGCAGAUAUCAGGAGGAACACCGGUGGCGAAGGCGGGUCUCUGGGCCUUACCUGACGCUGAGGAGCGAAAGCAUGGGGAGCGAACAGGAUUAGAUACCCUGGUAGUCCAUGCCGUAAACGUUGGGCGCUAGGUGUGGGGACUUUCCACGGUUUCCGCGCCGUAGCUAACGCAUUAAGCGCCCCGCCUGGGGAGUACGGCCGCAAGGCUAAAACUCAAAGGAAUUGACGGGGGCCCGCACAAGCGGCGGAGCAUGUUGCUUAAUUCGACGCAACGCGAAGAACCUUACCAAGGUUUGACAUCACCCGUGGACUCGCAGAGAUGUGAGGUCAUUUAGUUGGCGGGUGACAGGUGGUGCAUGGCUGUCGUCAGCUCGUGUCGUGAGAUGUUGGGUUAAGUCCCGCAACGAGCGCAACCCUUGUUCCAUGUUGCCAGCACGUAAUGGUGGGGACUCAUGGGAGACUGCCGGGGUCAACUCGGAGGAAGGUGGGGAUGACGUCAAGUCAUCAUGCCCCUUAUGUCUUGGGCUGCAAACAUGCUACAAUGGCCGGUACAAUGGGCGUGCGAUACCGUAAGGUGGAGCGAAUCCCUAAAAGCCGGUCUCAGUUCGGAUUGGGGUCUGCAACUCGACCCCAUGAAGGUGGAGUCGCUAGUAAUCGCGGAUCAGCAACGCCGCGGUGAAUACGUUCCCGGGCCUUGUACACACCGCCCGUCACGUCAUGAAAGUCGGCAACACCCGAAACUUGCGGCCUAACCCCUUGGGGAGGGAGUGAGGAAGGUGGACUGCAGGCUCACU
rnacentral:rRNA from 1 species